CGGCGAGUGAGCGGGAAGAGCUCAAAUUUGAAAUCUGGCAGUCUUCGAUUGUCCGAGUUGUAAUCUAUAGAGGCGUUUUCCGUGCCGGACCGUGUCCAAGUCUCCUGGAAAGGAGUAUCAAAGAGGGUGAUAAUCCCGUACUUAACACGACCACCGGUGCUCUGUGAUACGUCUUCUACGAGUCGAGUUGUUUGGGAAUGCAGCUCAAAAUGGGUGGUGAAUUCCAUCUAAAGCUAAAUAUUGGCGAGAGACCGAUAGCGAACAAGUACCGUGAGGGAAAGAUGAAAAGCACUUUGGAAAGAGAGUUAAACAGUACGUGAAAUUGUUGAAAGGGAAACGAUUGAAGUCAGUCGUGUUCUUUGGAUUCAGCCAGUUCUGCUGGUCUACUUCCUUGGAACGGGUCAACAUCAGUUUUGUCCGGUGGAUAAAGGUAGUAGGAAUGUGACUUCUCCGGAAGUGUUAUAGCCUAUUAUCACAUACACUGGGUGAGACUGAGGACUGCAGCUCGCCUUUAUGGCCGGCCUUCGGGCACGUUCGAGCUUAGGAUGUUGACAUAAUGGCUUUAAACGACCCG
rnacentral:rRNA from 1 species